UACGUAGGGUGCGAGCGUUGUCCGGAAUUAUUGGGCGUAAAGAGCUUGUAGGCGGUCUGUCGCGUCUGCUGUGAAAAUCCGGGGCUCAACCCCGGACUUGCAGUGGGUACGGGCAGACUAGAGUGUGGUAGGGGAGACUGGGAUUCCUGGUGUAGCGGUGAAAUGCGCAGAUAUCAGGAGGAACACCGAUGGCGAAGGCAGGUCUCUGGGCCACUACUGACGCUGAGAAGCGAAAGCAUGGGGAGCGAACAGG
rnacentral:rRNA from 1 species